rnacentral:rRNA from 1 species
GACGAACGCUGGCGGCGUGCUUAACACAUGCAAGUCGAACGCGCCUGUCCUCUGGGUUUCUGGGGGGUGGGUGAGUGGCGAACGGGUGAGUCACACGUGAGUAACCUGCCCCCUUCUUCGGGAUAACGGUCUGAAAGGGCUGCUAAUCCCGUGUAUUCACUGGUCUCCGCAUUGGGUCUGGUGGAACGGUUUUUUUCUGGUGGGGGAUGGGCUCGCGGCCUAUCAGCUUGUUGGUGGGGUGAUGGCCCACCAAGGCUUUGACGGGUAGCCGGCCUGAGAGGGUGACCGGUAACAUUGGGACUGAGAUACGGCCCAGACGAGUACGGGGGGGGGAAGUGGGGAAUAUGGCACAAUGGGCGAAAGCCUGAUGCAGCGACGCCGAGUGAGGGAUGGAGGCCUUCGGGUUGUGAACCUCUGUCGGACGUGGUCAAGAAGCGACGUGGGUCGUGGUGAGGGUAGUGGGUAAAGAAGCGCCGGCUAACUACGUG